CCUACGGGAGGCAGCAGUGGGGGAUAUUGCACAAUGGGGGAAACCCUGAUGCAGCGACGCCGCGUGAGUGAAGAAGGAUUUCGGUAUGUAAAGCUCUAUCAGCAGGGAAGAAAAUGACAGUAACUGACCAAGAAGCCCCGGCGAACUACGUGCCAGCAGCCGCGGUAAUACGUAGGGGGCAAGCGUUAGCCUGAUUUACGGGGUGGAAAGGGAGCGGAGACGGGUAUGUAAGUCUGGAGUGAAAGCCCGGGGCCCAACCCCGGGACUGCUUUGGAAACUGUGUAACUGGAGUACAGGAGGGGCAGGCGUACUUCCUGUUGUAGCGGUGAACUGCGUAGAUAUCAGGCGGAACACCGGCGGCGACGGCGGCCUGCUGGACUGCAACUGACGUUGAGGCUCGACAGCGUGGGGAGCAAACAGGAUUAGAUACCCUAGUAGUC
rnacentral:rRNA from 1 species